CAAUACUGUUACUGUACUGUACUGUACAUGGUGUAGUUUACAGAAGUAUUGUUACUAUACUUUAUGUGGUGUAGUUUACAGCAGUACUGUUACCGUCCUGUAUGUGGUGUAGUUUACAGCAAUACUGUACUGUACGUGGUGUAGUUUACAGAAGUAUUGUUACUAUACUGUACGAGGUGCAGUGUACAGUACGUGGUGUAGUUUACAGCAAUGCUGUACUGUACAUGGUUUAGUUUACAGCAGUACAUUUACUGUACUGUAUGUGGUGUAGUUUACAGCUAGGCUAAUAGUGCUGUACUGUACGUGGUGUAGUUUACAGCUAGGCUAAUAGUGCUGUACUGUACAUAGAGGAGGAGGAGGAGAGGCUAAGAGGAGGAGGGGGAGAGGCUGAGAGGACAUGAGGCUGAGAGGACGAGAGGCUGAGAGGACAAGAGGCUGAGAGGGGGAGAGGCUGAGAGGAGGAGGGGGAGAGGCUGAGAAGAGGAGGAGGAGAGGCUGAGAAGAGGAGGAGGAGAGGCUGUAGUGGACCUGUAGGUUUUAACUCCAACCCUGUUCCUGGAGAGAUACCCUCCUGUAGGUUUUAACUCCAACCCUGUUCCUGGAGAGAUACCCUCCUGUAGAGGGUAAGAGGUUCAGGAAUCUAUUUUUAUGUUCCCCCAGCACCCGGUUUGUUAUUCUGCCCUGACCUACUUACAGGUCCACUGAGAG
rnacentral:lncRNA from 1 species